GUAAUGUCUGGGAACUGCCUGAUGGAGGGGGAUAACUACUGGAAACGGUAGCUAAUACCGCAUAACGUCGCAAGACCAAAGAGGGGGACCUUCGGGCCUCUUGCCAUCGGAUGUGCCCAGAUGGGAUUAGCUAGUAGGUGGGGUAACGGCUCACCUAGGCGACGAUCCCUAGCUGGUCUGAGAGGAUGACCAGCCACACUGGAACUGAGACACGGUCCAG
rnacentral:rRNA from 1 species